UACGAAGGGGGCUAGCGUUGUUCGGAAUUACUGGGCGUAAAGCGUACGUAGGCGGAUUGUUAAGUGAGGGGUGAAAUCCCGAGGCUCAACCUCGGAACUGCCUUUCAUACUGGCAAUCUUGAGUCCGGGAGAGGUGAGUGGAACUCCUAGUGUAGAGGUGAAAAUUCGUAGAUAUUAGGAAGAACACCAGUGGCGAAAGGCGGCUCACUGGCCCGGAACUGACGCUGAGGUACGAAAAGCGUGGGGGAGCAAACAGG
rnacentral:rRNA from 1 species